UGCGCAGGGAGAGAACGCCGGCCACCUUCCCGCUUCCGAGCUGGGUGCGCGCCGAGCACAGGAGAUUGCCUGCGUUUAGGAGGUGGCUGCGUUGUGGGAAAAGCUAUCAAGGAAGAAAUUGCCAAACCAUGUCUUUUUUUCUGUUUUCAGAGUAGUUCACAACAGAUCUGAGUGUUUUAAUUAAGCAUGGAAUACAGAAAACAACAAAAAACUUAAGCUUUAAUUUCAUCUGGAAUUCCACAGUCUUGCUGCUCUGUUGCCCAGGCUGGAGUACAGUGGCAGGAUCUCAGCUCACUGCAAUCUCCGUCUCUCAGGUUUAAGCAGUUCUCCUGCCUCAGCCUCCCAAGUAGGUGGGACUACAGAACCUUCGGCUCGCGUGCUUCUGAGCUGCUGUGGAUGGCCUCGGCUCUCUGGACUGUCCUUCCGAGUAGGAUGUCACUGAGAUCCCUCAAAUGGAGCCUCCUGCUGCUGUCACUCCUGAGUUUCUUUGUGAUGUGGUACCUCAGCCUUCCCCACUACAAUGUGAUAGAACGCGUGAACUGGAUGUACUUCUAUGAGUAUGAGCCGAUUUA
rnacentral:lncRNA from 1 species